rnacentral:rRNA from 1 species
AACAAACGCUGGCGGCGUGCCUAAUACAUGCAAGUCGAACGGGGAAAGCUUUCGGGUGAGUACUAGUGGCGCACGGGUGAGGAACGCGUGGAUAAUCUGCCUUAGAGUGGGGGAUAACUAGUCGGAAGAUUAGCUAAUACCGCAUAAGACCACGAGAGCUGCGGCUUUUGAGGUCAAAGGUUUUUCGCUCUAAGAUGAGUCCGCGUAAGAUUAGCUAGUUGGUGAGGUAACGGCUCACCAAGGCGACGAUCUUUAACUGGUCUGAGAGGAUGAUCAGUCACACUGGAACUGAGACACGGUCCAGACUCCUACGGGAGGCAGCAGUAGGGAAUAUUGCACAAUGGAGGAAACUCUGAUGCAGCGACGCCGCGUGAGUGAUGAAGGCCUUCGGGUCGUAAAGCUCUGUCGCAGGGGAAUAACACAAUGAAGGUACCCUGUAAGAAAGGAUCGGCUAACUUCGUG